rnacentral:rRNA from 1 species
AGCGACGCUAGCGGCGUGCCUAACACAUGCAAGUCGUACGAGAAAGGUGGCUUCGGUCACUGAGUAAAGUGGCGCACGGGUGAGUAACGCGUGGGUAAUCUACCCUCGAGACCGGAAUAACCCUCCGAAAGGAGAGCUAAUACCGGAUAAGACUGCGGGACACAGGUCCUGCAGUUAAAGGCGGGGACCCUUCGGGGCCUGUCACUCAAGGAUGAGCCCGCGUCCCAUCAGCUUGUUGGUAGGGUAACGGCCUACCAAGGCGAAGACGGGUAGGGGGUGUGAGAGCACGGCCCCCCACAAUGGGACUGAGACACGGCCCAUACUCCUACGGGAGGCAGCAGCAGGGAAUAUUGCGCAAUGGACGGAAGUCUGACGCAGCGACGUCGCGUGGAUGAAGACGGCCUUCGGGUUGUAAAAUCCUUUUCGGUGGGAAGAGAGAGGACGGUACCGCCGGAAUAAGUGUCGGCUAACUACGUGCCAGCAGCCGCGGUAAUACAAGCCGA